UGGGUUAGAGUGUCCCCUUUGGGUCAGUGGACCCAAGUGUGAUCCAUCGAUGGUAGAGUCAGUCUGCCGAUAUAGUUCAGAGUAUGUUGAGGGUAGAUGCCUUCCAGCCGACCUAGUGGUUCUAGAUUUGACUGAUUUUUGACGUCAUUCUAGGGAUGGAUUGGCUUCCUACUCAUGGUGCUACCUUGGAUAGCAGAGACAAGGUAGUCAGGUUCAGAGUUCAGGAUGGAUCAGA
rnacentral:lncRNA from 1 species